rnacentral:rRNA from 1 species
UACGUAGGGUGCGAGCGUUGUCCGGAAUUAUUGGGCGUAAAGGGCUCGUAGGCGGUCUGUCACGUCAGGAGUGAAGACUCGGGGCUCAACCCCGAGCCUGCUUCUGAUACGGGCAGACUGGAGGUAUGCAGGGGAGAACGGAAUUCCUGGUGUAGCGGUGAAAUGCGCAGAUAUCAGGAGGAACACCGGUGGCGAAGGCGGUUCUCUAGUACGGUACUGACGCUGAGACGCGAAAGCGUGGGGAGCGAACAGG